UUUUCCUAGGCAUUUUCAGCGUGGCGCCGCGCCAUGCCCCUUUUCCCGCGCGCCACGCUGCCCUCCAAGAGGUCCGUAUGCGCCACGUGCCUUUUGAAUUGCCCACUUACAACUAAUUAUCAUAAAAAUGUCAUUGUGUUAAUAAUUUCUUACCCGUAAUUAAUGAAUGACACACGACACAGGAAGCCGGCUCGUGUAUUUCACGAUUCGCAUAGCGGGUGACAUGAAUCGAGUGACGUAAUCAUGACAGCGUGUGCUCGCUUUUCGGUCACUUUAUCUUUGAUCAAUAUUGAUAACAAUUAUCAAAUUCGAAGUUGAAAUCUAAUGAUUCAAGCGUUAUUUUUUCACACUUCGCUGUUUGGAAGUUUAAUGCGAUAUUGCAAUAUUAAUUGUAAUAAUUAGUUCUGUUAAGAUUCAAACAUGCCGUCUGCUAAACGUAGGCUCUCGCAAUUGGAAAAAGGAAACGCAAAAAUUGCCAAAAACAACAUGUCAGUGUUUGGAUUUUUGUCACGGAAUGAUUCCGAAGCCAGUGCAGACACAACAAACGACAAUGCGUCUGUCCCGACCACUGUGCAGCCGAGUCAAGGUACAGAAUAUCCAGACCUUGAUCAAAGAAAGAAAAAUUCUGGCCAUGGUACCCAGUUCAACACGAAAUGGCAAGAUGGUCACCCUUUGCUAGUGUGUUAAAGAGAUGAGCCCAGAUGGGCAUAAAUUUGAGGCAAUGUACUGUUCUGUGUGUAGCAAGUGGUGAUUCUUGACCAGAAUCUGCUAGAUACAUAUUUAAACUGGAAAUAUUUGCAUUCAAUUGUGUGUUGAAGAAAGUUUAGGAAAUUAACUAAACAAAGUCAGCAAAUUGUAUUAACUUCAAUAAAAUUAAUUAUAACUGUUUAAAAAAUGGCUGUUUAAUAAACUAUAGUUGGCCAAAGGUCAGAAAGUCAGCAAAUUGUAUUAACUCAUAUGUUUCAUUUGAUAUGAUGAAGUAUUUACAAUUAAUGAUCAAUUGUAUUAACUUUGAUAUAAUUAAUGAUCUGUUUGUAAAAUGGAAAAAGAAAUUGUGUGUUUAAGAAUAUAAAGUAGGCCUAUGUUAAGAAAGUCAACCAAUAGUAUUAACUGACAUGCUUUAUUUGAUAGGUCUUAUGUGUACUAUAUGAAAUAAUGUUCUUUUUGUAAAAGAGUGAAUUAAAUUGUGUGUUUAAGA
rnacentral:lncRNA from 1 species